CAAAGAAGGUCCUUAAGAAGACAGACCGGGGGGACCCUGAGCACAGAUGGAGCCAGUAGCUGCAGAGGAGCACAAGGAAGGAAGGUGGAGUGCAGGUGCAGCCCCCCAAAAAUAGAUUUCAUGUUCCUCAUUAGCAACUGUUGCUGAGAGUUUUUAAGUGACUCACCUAAGAUUCUAGAGCUCACAUGUAUCAGAACUGGAAUUCAACUCUGCCUGCUUGGCUCCGAGGAAGCUCUGCCAUCAGCCUCAUCCUUCAAAGGAGGAACAUUUUGAGAUGUGCAUGAAAGCAGAAGUGAAGACUCACGUUCCCGAAGCAUGUCAUGGAGACCUGGUGAGGGCGUGAGAGGGUAAAA